AUUGAACGCUGGCGGCAAGCCUAACACAUGCAAGUCGAACGAGUGGCGGACGGGUGAGUAAUGUCUGGGAAACUGCCUGAUGGAGGGGGAUAACUACUGGAAAGGGUAGCUAAUACCGCAUACCAUCGGAUGUGCCGAGGUGGGAUUAGCUAGUAGGGGGGGUAAAGGCUCACCAAGGCGACGAUCCCUAGCUGGUCUGAGAGGAUGACCAGCCACACUGGAACUGAGACACGGUCCAGACUCCUACGGGAGGCAGCAGUGGGGAAUAUUGCACAAUGGGCGCAAGCCUGAUCCAGCCAUGCCGCGUGUGUAAAGAAGGUCUUCGGGUUGUAAAGCACUUUAAUUUGGGAGGCGGUACCAACAGAAUAAGCACCGGCUAACUUCGUGCCAGCCGCCGCGGUAAUUC
rnacentral:rRNA from 1 species